GAUGAACGCUGGCGGCGUGCCUAAUACAUGCAAGUCGAGCGAACAGACGAGGAGCUUGCUCCUCUGACGUUAGCGGCGGACGGGUGAGUAACACGUGGAUAACCUACCUAUAAGACUGGGAUAACUUCGGGAAACCGGAGCUAAUACCGGAUAACAUGUUGAACCGCAUGGUUCAACAGUGAAAGACGGUUUUGCUGUCACUUAUAGAUGGAUCCGCGCCGCAUUAGCUAGUUGGUAAGGUAACGGCUUACCAAGGCAACGAUGCGUAGCCGACCUGAGAGGGUGACCGGCCACACUGGAACUGAGACACGGUCCAGACUCCUACGGGAGGCAGCAGUAGGGAAUCUUCCGCAAUGGGCGAAAGCCUGACGGAGCAACGCCGCGUGAGUGAAGAAGGUCUUCGGAUCGUAAAACUCUGUUAUUAGGGAAGAACAAAUGUGUAAGUAACUAUGCACGUCUUGACGGUACCUAAUCAGAAAGCCACGGCUAACUACGUG
rnacentral:rRNA from 1 species